rnacentral:misc_RNA from 1 species
AAGUCGUAACAAGGUUUCCGUAGGUGAACCUGCGGAAGGAUCAUUAUUGAAUUAUGUUUCUAGAUGGGUUGUCGCUGGCUCUUUGGAGCAUGUGCACGCCUGUUUGGACUUCAUUUUCAUCCACCUGUGCACCUAUUGUAGUCUUUGGUCGGGUUAUUGAGGAAGUGGUCAGUCUAUCAGCAUUAGCUGGAUUUGAGGACUUGCGGUGCGAAAGUAGUGCUGUCCUUUACUUGGCCAUGGAGUCUUUUUCCUGCCAGAGUCUAUGUCAUUCAUUAUACCCUAUAGAAUGUCAUUGAAUGUCUUUACAUGGGCUUGUAUGCCUAUGAAAAUUGUAAUACAACUUUCAGCAACGGAUCUCUUGGCUCUC